AUGCAGCGGCAGCGCGCUCACGCGGCGGCAUCUAUCCGCUCCACGGCAUCGAUCGCCUUCUUUAUUCCUCCCCCGCCACCGCCCCGGCGCGUGCCGCUCGCGGCCGCGUCGCACGGCCUCACCUCCAAGCGCUGUCCCCUUCCUUCCGCCGCCGUCGUCGUCGCCGUGCGCGCCGGCCCGGCGAGUCCGUCCGAGCGUGGCCAGGCCGCCUCACUUGACCGCCCUGAAACCGUAGAGGGAGGACCCUCCCGCCCCCCUGGGGCCGGUGGCACCAUGCUUCCUUCUCCAUCGCCAUCACCGGCCACGCCGGCCACCACAGCCUGUACUACUAUGUACCGAGGUCCCGGAGGGAAAUUCGCCGUACCGAUGGAUGCUGCGCAGACUCUACUAUAUCUUCUUCGCCGCCGACGAGGAACACGUGCCGCCGUGCGGGGGGGCAUUGUAAAGAUGUACACGAGCAGGCAGUUGAUGGCGUCGGUCGUCGCGCGCCGAGGUCGCCGGGAGAAGAAGAAAAAGGGAGCCUCCGGUGCGUGCCUCGCACGGCCAGCAGGGGGCGUCAGUUUUCGCGCCGGAGGGAGACGCGAGACGUUGACCCCUCGGCCCUUCUCUUUCUUCUCGUGCAAGGUCACGUCGCCGGUGGUUAACUAG
rnacentral:rRNA from 1 species